CCUAUGAUCAGGAACAUUUAGGAUGUGUCUACGAAAGAAUGGUCUCAUGAAUUUAACUUCUUUAGAUCGUAUUCUCCCAAUCACAUAUUCCUUGGACUUUAUCGUUUAAGCAUAUAACAUUUAUAUGAGACGGCUCAAACAAUAAUUUUUGCCCUUUAUAGUUAAACUAGAUUAGUUUAACAUGUGAAAUGUCCGUAAAGUAUCAUCAUAUGAUUGGCUUUAGGGCACAUUUCCAACAGCAUAUUCUCUUUGAUGCACCCAGUCUGACUUGAUUUCUCUUUAUACAUAUACAUAUAUUCUUCUUUCUAUUUUCGAGUAUCUCGGUUUAGUAAGUGAUUUUAAAUUUUCGGGACAAAAUUCUUUUAAGGGGGGGUAGAUUGUUAAAUCCCACCCCCGAAUUUAUUUGUAAUUUUAUAAUUUCCCAAAGUUUUAUUUAAAAUUUCAUUUUGGUCACCUAGCUUGACUAAAUCUGGACCCUUUAUCUAGAUUCCUAAACCCCCUUAAACUGCCACGUGGCAGCACCCUAUCUCUCUCUGUCCCCCCUUCCCCCGUGACUCCUUCUUCUACUUCUUUUUGUUUCUGCUUCUCUCCCUUCUCUCUCUCUCUCUUCUUUCCCUAUUUCACCGAGACACAUACACACACCCAAUUGCUUACCUGCAUGAGGAAGACAAUCAUCAUCACCAUAAAAAACUCAUUUUUCUCUCUCUUCCUCUCAU
rnacentral:lncRNA from 1 species